rnacentral:rRNA from 2 species
UCCUACGGGAGGCAGCAGUGGGGAAUAUUGGACAAUGGGCGAAAGCCUGAUCCAGCAAUGCCGCGUGAGUGAUGAAGGCCUUAGGGUUGUAAAGCUCUUUUACCCGGGAUGAUAAUGACAGUACCGGGAGAAUAAGCUCCGGCUAACUCCGUGCCAGCAGCCGCGGUAAUA